rnacentral:rRNA from 1 species
GACGAACGCUGGCGGCGUGCUUAACACAUGCAAGUCGAACGAUGAAGCCUAGCUUGCUAGGUGGAUUAGUGGCGAACGGGUGAGUAAUACGUGAGUAACCUACCUUUAACUCUGGGAUAAGCCUGGGAAACUGGGUCUAAUACCGGAUACGACCAAUCUCCGCAUGGGGUGUUGGUGGAAAGCGUUAUGUAGUGGUUAUAGAUGGGCUCACGGCCUAUCAGCUUGUUGGUGAGGUAACGGCUCACCAAGGCGACGACGGGUAGCCGGCCUGAGAGGGUGACCGGCCACACUGGGACUGAGACACGGCCCAGACUCCUACGGGAGGCAGCAGUGGGGAAUAUUGCACAAUGGGCGCAAGCCUGAUGCAGCGACGCCGCGUGAGGGAUGACGGCCUUCGGGUUGUAAACCUCUGUUAGCAGGGAAGAAGAGAGAUUGACGGUACCUGCAGAGAAAGCGCCGGCUAACUACGUGCCAGCAGCCGCGGUAAUACGUAGGGCGCGAGCGUUGUCCGGAAUUAUUGGGCGUAAAGAGCUUGUAGGCGGUUUGUCGCGUCUGCUGUGAAAGGCCGGAGCUUAACUCCGUGUAUUGCAGUGGGUACGGGCAGACUAGAGUGCAGUAGGGGAGACUGGAAUUCCUGGUGUAGCGGUGGAAUGCGCAGAUAUCAGGAGGAACACCGAUGGCGAAGGCAGGUCUCUGGGCUGUAACUGACGCUGAGAAGCGAAAGCAUGGGGAGCGAACAGGAUUAGAUACCCUGGUAGUCCAUGCCGUAAACGUUGGGCACUAGGUGUGGGGAAACAUUCCACGUUUUCCGCGCCGUAGCUAACGCAUUAAGUGCCCCGCCUGGGGAGUACGGCCGCAAGGCUAAAACUCAAAGAAAUUGACGGGGGCCCGCACAAGCGGCGGAGCAUGCGGAUUAAUUCGAUGCAACGCGAAGAACCUUACCAAGGCUUGACAUAUACUGGACCGCAUCAGAGAUGGUGUUUCCCUUCGGGGCUGGUAUACAGGUGGUGCAUGGUUGUCGUCAGCUCGUGUCGUGAGAUGUUGGGUUAAGUCCCGCAACGAGCGCAACCCUCGUUCUAUGUUGCCAGCACGUUAUGGUGGGGACUCAUAGGAGACUGCCGGGGUCAACUCGGAGGAAGGUGGGGAUGACGUCAAAUCAUCAUGCCCCUUAUGUCUUGGGCUUCACGCAUGCUACAAUGGCCGGUACAGAGGGUUGCGAUACUGUGAGGUGGAGCUAAUCCCUAAAAGCCGGUCUCAGUUCGGAUUGGGGUCUGCAACUCGACCCCAUGAAGUCGGAGUCGCUAGUAAUCGCAGAUCAGCAACGCUGCGGUGGAUACGUUCCCGGGCCU